rnacentral:rRNA from 1 species
UACGUAGGGUGCAAGCGUUGUCCGGAAUUACUGGGCGUAAAGAGCUCGUAGGUGGUUUGUCGCGUUGUUCGUGAAAACUCACAGCUUAACUGUGGGCGUGCGGGCGAUACGGGCAGACUGGAGUACUGCAGGGGAGACUGGAAUUCCUGGUGUAGCGGUGAAAUGCGUAGAUAUCGAGAGGAACACCUGCGGCGAAGGCGGGUUGCUGGGCUGAUACUGACGCUGAGGCGCGAAAGCGUGGGGAGCAAACAGG